rnacentral:rRNA from 1 species
GACGAACGCUGGCGGCGUGCUUAACACAUGCAAGUCGAACGCUGAAGCUUGGUGCUUGCACUGGGUGGAUGAGUGGCGAACGGGUGAGUAAUACGUGAGUAACCUGCCCUUGACUCUGGGAUAAGCCUGGGAAACUGGGUCUAAUACUGGAUACGACAUGUCACCGCAUGGUGGUGUGUGGAAAGGGUUUUACUGGUUUUGGAUGGGCUCACGGCCUAUCAGCUUGUUGGUGGGGUAAUGGCUCACCAAGGCGACGACGGGUAGCCGGCCUGAGAAGGUGACCGGCCACACUGGGACUGAGACACGGCCCAGACUCCUACGGGAGGCAGCAGUGGGGAAUAUUGCACAAUGGGCGGAAGCCUGAUGCAGCGACGCCGCGUGAGGGAUGACGGCCUUCAGGUUGUAAACCUCUUUCAGCACGGAAGAAGCGAAAGUGACGGUACGUGCAGAAGAAGCGCCGGCUAACUACGUG